rnacentral:rRNA from 1 species
UACGAAGGGGGCUAGCGUUGCUCGGAAUGACUGGGCGUAAAGGGCGCGUAGGCGGAUGGCACAGUCAGAUGUGAAAUUCCCGGGCUUAACCUGGGGGCUGCAUUUGAUACGUGUUGUCUUGAGUUCGGAAGAGGGUCGUGGAAUUCCCAGUGUAGAGGUGAAAUUCGUAGAUAUUGGGAAGAACACCGGUGGCGAAGGCGGCUCACUGGCCCGGUACUGACGCUGAGGUGCGAAAGCGUGGGGAGCAAACAGG